UACAGAGGGGGCGAGCGUUGUUCGGAAUUACUGGGCGUAAAGGGCGCGUAGGCGGCCCGCUAAGUCGAACGUGAAAUCCCCAGGCUCAACCUGGGAACUGCGUCCGAUACUGGCAGGCUUGAAUCCGGGAGAGGGAUGUGGAAUUCCAGGUGUAGCGGUGAAAUGCGUAGAUAUCUGGAGGAACACCGGUGGCGAAGGCGGCAUCCUGGACCAAUUCUGACACUGAGGAGCGAAAGCCAGGGGAGCAAACGGG
rnacentral:rRNA from 1 species